rnacentral:rRNA from 1 species
AUUGAACGCUGGCGGAAUGCUUUACACAUGCAAGUCGAACGGCAGCACGGGGGCAACCCUGGUGGCGAGUGGCGAACGGGUGAGUAAUACAUCGGAACGUGCCCAGUCGUGGUGGAUAACGUAGCGAAAGUUACGCUAAUACCGCAUACGAUCUACGGAUGAAAGCGGGGGACCGUAAGGCCUCGCGCGAUUGGAGCGGCCGAUGUCAGAUUAGGUAGUUGGUGAGGUAAAGGCUCACCAAGCCGAAGGUCUGUAGCUGGUCCGAGAGGACGACCAGCCACACUGGGACUGAGACACGGCCCAGACUCCUACUGGAGGCAGCAGUGGGGAAUUUUGGACAAUGGGCGCAAGCCUGAUCCAGCCAUUCCGCGUGCAGGACGAAGGCCUUCGGGUUGUAAACUGCUUUUGUACGGAACGAAAAGGCUCUGGUUAAUACCUGGGGCUCAUGACGGUACCGUAAGAAUAAGCACCGGCUAACUACGUGCCAGCCGCCGCCGUAA